rnacentral:rRNA from 1 species
AUGGAUGCUCCGGAGGUGGUUCCCCAACGUGUCCAUCCCAAGAAGAAACCAUGUGUGGAUGGCAAUCAACAGCAGCAUUCCCAAUCCCAGACAUCCAUGGGCCAGUGUCACACGAUAUCCGAGGUGCUUAACGACGACAACCUCCUCAUCGAGAUCCUCAUCCGUGUGGGCUUCCCUACCACCCUCGUCCGCGCCGCCCUCGUCUGCAAGCGCUGGUACCACCACGCCUCAGACCGCGGGUUCCUCUGUCGUUUCCGCAAGCGCAACCCACCCCGCCUCCUUGGCUUAUACAUCGACGUAAGGUGGACCUGGUUGGGGUUGUACGCUACUCCGCGCUUUGUCCCAAUGCAGCCCCAGGCCCCGGAGCUUGACACCGUUGUCCGCCGCGUGGCGAGCCAUAGCUUCGACGCCUACGGUGACGGAAUAUGGAUCAUGCACUGCCAGAAUGGUAGCAUCUUCACCAGAUACCGCAAAGGAACAGAAGUGACACAUGGAGUUUACCGCCCAUUGUGCCCUGAGAGAGACAUGGACUUCAUUCCACCACUCCCAACCGCCCAGAACCACAUGCAAAAACUUCUUGGUGCAAUCCUCUCCAAAGAAGAAGGUGAUGGGCUGUCCUACCUGUAUGUGUUGGCGGAGUGUACCACGCAAACAAAAACUUUCAAGGUGCGUGUGUAUAUGUUGCAAGGCGGCGUCUGGUGCAUGCAUACCUCGGCCACAACACAACUCCCUCAUAUGCUGCCUGCACUGAAAGCAGUGCUUGUUGACGAUAAAAUUUAUAUGGCUGACGUCUUCAGUAAUGACAUUAUUGUCUUGGAUUUGGCGACCUCGAGUUUUUCCAGAAUUCUGCUCCCACAAGGAGUGAAGUAUCACACUCUUCACACCAUCUUGUCUCGGGCUGAUGAUGCUUCCGGUCUAUAUCUCAUCCAUGUCCAUGUCAAGGAGCAUCAACUUUGCAUCUGGCUCCACAAGGGGGACAACUGGUUGCUGGUCGAUACCCUUUGUUUGCAUCAGAUGUGGGCUAAUUUGAGGAUGCAAGAUCACACGCUCGAGGACGAGGAUAUUAGUUACGCCUAUAUAAGCCAGGUGGGAGAUAAUGUUCAGUUUGUGUUCUUGAAGACAAUGUGUGGACGCAUACUCUAUCUGGACGUCACUAGCAGGACACUACAUAAAGUGCAUGGGAUGACAGAAAAGGAUCGACAUUUCAGUGCUAUCUAUCCUUUUAUGAUGAUUUGGCCGCCCAUAUUCCCUGCGCUCAAGGAUGAUCAAGCAAGGUUUUCCCUUUGGCCUUUACAUGAUCUAUGUAUUGCUCUUGUUGAGGCUAGUUUGUUUUGCGCAGAAAUUUCUAUGCUGCGGGCAGGGGAGUUGGGUGGAAAUGGGUCAACCUGA